GUGUCAGCCGCCGCGGUAAUACGGAGGGGGCUAGCGUUGUUCGGAAUUACUGGGCGUAAAGCGCGCGUAGGCGGUUUGCCAAGUCAGAGGUGAAAGCCCGGGGCUUAACCUCGGAAUUGCCUUUGAGACUGGCAGGCUUGAGUACGGGAGAGGUAAGUGGAAUUCCGAGUGUAGAGGUGAAAUUCGUAGAUAUUCGGAAGAACACCAGUGGCGAAGGCGGCUUACUGGACCGUUACUGACGCUGAGGCGCGAAAGCGUGGGGAGCAAACAGGUUUAGAUACCCUGGUAGUCCACGCCGUAAACGAUGGGUGCUAGAUGUUGGGGCCUUUGGCUUCCGGUGUCGCAGCUAACGCGUUAAGCACCCCGCCUGGGGAGUACGGCCGCAAGGUUAAAACUUAAAGGAAUUGACGGGG
rnacentral:rRNA from 1 species